rnacentral:lncRNA from 1 species
UCUAUACCCACAACAUAUUCCCUACAGGGAAUAAUCCAGUACAUUUCCCUCCAAUGAGCCAUAAAAAAUGGAAGUAAUCUCGAUUCUCGAGUGUACCAAAGAACGAAGCUAAGAAUUCGCACACAAAGAACUGAGGUAAGCAGCAAGCUCCCGAACCUGACGAAGCAGGGCGCGAGGGACAGAAGGCAGGUCUCCGAAUCAGACCACGAAUCCUGCCUGGUGGCUCGUCGGAGCAAGGAUACACUACCCG